UACGUAGGGCCCAAGCGUUGUUCGGAUUUACUGGGCGGAAAGGGCGCGUAGGCGGCGUGGUAAGUCACUUGUGAAAUCUCUGAGCUUAACUCAGAACGGCCAAGUGAUACUGCUGUGCUAGAGUGCAGAAGGGGCAAUCGGAAUUCUUGGUGUAGCGGUGAAAUGCGUAGAUAUCAAGAGGAACACCUGAGGUGAAGACGGGUUGCUGGGCUGACACUGACGCUGAGGCGCGAAAGCCAGGGGAGCAAACGGG
rnacentral:rRNA from 1 species